AUUUGAGUGGAUCUGACUCUAGUACGAGAGGACCGAGUUGGACCGACCGCUGGUGCACCAGUUGUUCCGCCAGGAGCAUCGCUGGGUAGCUAUGUCGGGAUGGGAUAAGCGCUGAAAGCAUAUAAGCGCGAAACCCGCCACAAGAUGAGAUUUCUUUAAAGGGCCGUGGGAGAUGACCACGUCGAUAGGCUAUAGGUGGAAGGGCGGUAACGUCCGUAGCCGAGUAGUACUAAUUGCCCGUCAGGCUUGCGCAU
rfam:Maribacter sedimenticola strain DSM 19840 genome assembly, contig: Ga0070243_105